rnacentral:lncRNA from 11 species
GAUAUUGAUGACACGUUGAAUUUUCUUGCGAUUGAAUAUAAAAUUUGUGAUGUUUUUUAAAAUGUUCCGUGUAUGACUAUGUGUAUAUGUGUGUUUGUGCUGUGAGCUGAUUGCUGCAUAUGAACUGAUAUUUAGCCGAUAGCAACGUGAAAUAUCAGUGAUCCAUCUCGGUGCGUGCGCAUAAUUAGACUGAGUUAUCGGCGCCAGAUUCGGGGACAAUGGCUGUAUAAAUAUUCUCGUCGGGAGCGGUCCACGUACGUGGGCAGAUGCGUCUUGCGGAUACAGGGUGGUCCUGACUAAAUGCAACGUGGAUCAGAACAAGGCCGACUCGUAACGAGCGCGUCGCGAAGCGCCUGUUACGGCCACGCUUGAUGCACGACGAUCUGUCGCGUUUUUGACGCGAGUCGUUACUUGCCACUUCUCAGGCCAUCGCCGAAUUCUCUUGCGUUUCGUGUACGCGUUGCGAUUCCACGAUCUUUCGUCGAUCCUUGUCAUCUAACAAUUCUUCUAACCAGCAAAAUAAUAGUGUCUCACGUGUCUUCAAUAAAUCCAAGAUAUUAACGGAUCAAAGACCUGUGGUAUUUUUGUAAGUAGUCCCGCAAAGUAUUACUCUGUUUAUUAGAGUGCUGAGAAGAACUUAAAAACUUGAAAUAGGUUGGAAAUGAUCUGCUGAGAAAAUAAUCGUUUAAUAAGUGUUAAAAGUUAUGUAGAAAUCUAAUUCCAUUCUCGCAACGAGAACCACCAACGAGAUAGUGAACUGAUCGACAUAUGGAAGAAAGAAAAGCUGCAACCAUUAAUAAACGUGCAACACGACAUCGUAGGUGGGAUGGUAACUCAUGCUGGGACCGGAAGAGGAACGCGGUUAUAAAAUAAAUGUAACGAGUCCUGUUCGAUAGUAAAAGGCUAAUGAGAAUAGCACCUUUGAUGAACACCUUCUGGAUUUUGACCAGUAAAUGCGCAGUACGAGUAAGUAACUUCAGUGUCAUUCAACGACAGGAGCACGUCUACCAUAAAUGCAGAAAACGUCGUUUCUGUACCGGAGGACUCGAGAGAAGUUUAUGGGCACGUUUUUGGUGGCCGCUUUCGGGGAACGAUGAUUUGGGUAAUUCUCGUUGGACGGAAGAUUUCGGGGCCCGAUUAAGCGGAACGACUGAUGAAGAGACUUGGAAAUCCAGCUCUCCGGCUGAAAGGUACUGCGUACUUAAUAAAGAUGAUGACAGUCGCGAGAGCCUUUGUGAGCUACUCGAAAGGCCUACUAGGCUCUUCUUUUUCGUGGAACCAACUUGUACGCUUAAAACAGCUCUGGUAAAUAAAACCGGCGAUAAUCUGGCCAAUUAUCUGAUCUAAAUCUGGCGAGGAAGUAAUUUUUAUUAGACAUUCUCUCGUAAUAAUAAGCAGUUGGCCCUUGUACGUGCUUGUGUCUAUGUUUCUUAUCAAGU